GAUGUGAUGGCUGAGUUUUAAGCGAUAGAUUGUAAAUCUAUUAACAAGAUUAUUCUUUCUCAUUAGG
rnacentral:tRNA from 1 species